rnacentral:lncRNA from 1 species
CAUGGUCUAAAUAUGGGAAGUAGUAUUGUUGAAUUAAUGCAAAAUCUGUAAAAUAUAUUCUUGGGAAAUAUCAAAAGUACAUCUUAGGGAAGUUUGUUUUAUUCAUUAUGUCAUUGUUAUCCCCACAUAAAUCUUUCCACCAUUAGAUUGUGAUAUAUCCUGAGUCAUUUUCCAGAGAACUAUUUAAGAUAAUGCUAAUAAAUUUGUGAUUUAGGGUUUGUCAAUAGAUUCCUAGCUAACAUAGCACUUACGUGUUACCUGUUCCAAAGAAUCAGGAUAAAAACAAAAUGGAAUGAAAAUAUCUAUUUCAUUGAUUACUACUAGAUACUGAAUAUCAGAAAUUACAUCUCAUGAAAUUGAGACUCUUUUGCUGGGGGUUGUUUAAUGACUUUGGGUACAGUAGCAAAUUUACAUUGUUCCCCUCCCAAGUAAAUCUCUAAAUAAAUUACUCAAGUUCAUUCAAAUAGUAAGAGUCAGUUCUAAGAUUCUAACUUAAGUAUUACAUAUUCCUAAAUUUCUUAUAGCCUGAAGAUUAUAGCACAAAAAUAUUAUGCUUAACUCAAAGUAUCUUUCUUGGCCCGAGAUGUACCAAAAUAAGAUUUGUCUGCAUAUAGUUGUUAUGUUUAUAGCUAAAAUGGCUUUGUUAUGGUUCAAUAUCAUGCUAUCUAAGUCUGGAAGAUGUAAAUCCAGUUUUGCAAAGCAGAAAUAGUAUUUCUUAGAAUAAGUAUGGAAAUAUGAUAGUGGUAUGAAGAAAGGAGAGAGAAGGAAUUAGGAUUAGAUUUGCACAGGACUUUAAUUCCAUGCAUAGCAAGAUAAAAUUUCUGUUUGGAUUUUGUUGACUGGUAUAUCAAUCUCAUACUAUUUCUAUGUAAUCACAGUUACCAUUGUUUAAAUGUUUAGUAGAGCAUUUCCAUAAAUGGUAACAACACUCUUUCAAACCUUCUCCCCUAUUAUUCUGGAUUAUUGUGUAACAUGCUGAACCUAAGACCUGAUCAAGCCAAAGCAGAGCCAGUGCUGGGAUCAUAUGACAUCUACCUAUAUUUAUGAGUGCUAGUUAAAUUCUAAACAUUGCCUAAAGUUGGCAUUCUUUCAAGUCAUUAACAUCAGGCCUGUUUGUCCAAUGUGGGAGAAAGGACUGUCAGAGCCUGUGUUAUUUCAUUCUUUACUAAUGAGGGAUUAUGUACCAAUAGGGAAAUGCUGCAUUAUUCAUGUUUUUAGAUUAUUCUCUGAACAAUUUACUACAAUUACUUUUCCAUAAGCCAAAGCCACCUAUAAAUCAAAUAUAGUUUUAGCUAUUAACACUUCAUUUUUACCUCUCAUGCAAAAGAAUAUAUGUGAGAAGUCAGAAGACCUCUUACUCCUUUAUCAUUGAUACAGUCCAGCUUCUUGUCACUCUGCUCUCCCCUCAAAGCAUUAUCUUUGUGUUUUUUUGAAGAUUAUUUGCAAACCUACCAGCAAUGACUCUCUCGAAUCAUCUGAAAAUUUCCUCCCUCAUAAAAAAUGAACUGAGGUGACUAAAUCCUGCUAACCCUCAAAUAUCUGAUUUUUUUUUUUAAUUCAGAGAUUAUAUGUUAGAUCUUGAAAGGCUGCUAGAGGGCAGGGAGAAUAAUAUAUCAUUUUGCAAAUGAGAAAUAUGAAGCAUUCUUGGGUAACUAGUACUAUAUAAUAGAAAGUGUGGCCAAGCUGUCCUUCUUAAUUAUGUUUUAGAAAAUGAUCUGAUCACAUGUGCUGCAAAGACUGAAUGGAUUAAGGUUUUUUGAGGCAAAACAAACAAAAAUAAUGAAUUCUAUUUAAAAUAUGAAUAAAGCAAUAUAAAAAAGGGAAAGAAAGGCAUUUAAGGAGAGAAAUGACAUGGGGGUAUAAAGUGUAAAGUCACUGGUUUCGGAGUGUGUCUGUUCUGCCAAUUACCACAUUCAUAAAACUUCAAAUAACUAACUUUACUUCUUUUUGCCUCAGUUUUCUCAUUUAUAAAAUGUUGGAACACUAAUUAACACUUAAAAAGUGCUUAAAAUAUGACCUAGCAGAGAAAUGCUUGAUAAAUUAUGUUACUACCACUACAAUUAUUAAUUAAGUAAAGGAAUCUGCUUAUAUCAAAGAAGGAAGAAAGUAAGGAUGGUUUAUCAUAGGCAGUAUACAUGAUCAAUUGUAUGUACGACCAAUACAUACCAAUAUUGUAUGACCAAUCCAAUCAUUUCCAACUAAUUUCUCUAUUGAGGCCCUCCUUCACAGAGGCUGCAAAAUUUAAAGAGCCACCUUUGCAGCAUGCCAUGGCUAUGGGACAAAAUUUGGCCGAUAAGUUAUAAGCAGAAAGCUGACAAGAGUUUCUGGAAAACCUUUUGCUGACUUUAAGCUGUUUAAAUAAACCAUUCCUGAACUCAGAAUAUUUUGAACUUCUCACAUCCUUAUUUCCUAUAGCAGUUGUAAAACCCUUAUAAGAGAAGACAUUGAAAGCACAACUUGCAUUUUAGGACUAUUAACACACAUGACAGCAGAGAAUUAAACAAACUAAACAAAGUUGUGUUUCUCUGUCCUCAGGGUCAUGAUAAUUCAGUUAAUAAAUCUGUUGUUGUUGUUGUUUAAAGCAAAACAAGCUUUUGCCUCUAACGUGCAUACUUUAGAGUAAUAUUUAAGUCUUCAAAAUCAUGAGAAGAUAUUAAACUCAGGUUCUGAUUUUUCAAAUUUAGUUUCUGGAAACACAUGAAGGUAUACAAAGAAUUCUUUAGAAACCUGAAACAUUGUUAAUUUGCUGUCUCAAAUUUCACUUGGAGCUAUGUUUUGAAAAAUGGAAAAGCAAUAUUUAUAUGUCACUUUCAUCUUUUAAGACCCUUAUGGAUACAGUACCAGAUAAAUGAUGACUUACUUUGGUAGAUUUAUGAUAAAAUGAAAAUAAACAUGGAGUUCCCCUCAUGGCACAGCGGAAACAAAUCUGACUAGGAACCAUGAGGUUACAGGUUCAAUCCCUGGCCUUGCUCAUAAAGAUCUAAGGGAUGAACCGGUUAAUUACAUCUUUACUGAAUAUUUUGAUAAUAAAGUCAAUAGUAAAGCCAACAAUAAAAAGUGGCAAAGCCACAAAUCAUGCUCAACAGGCAAAGUCUAAGAGCCAGGGACUUAAUCACAAAAAGACCACAUAUGAGAGUAAAUCAGGAUACAAAGUGAAAAGUGUUCAAUCUUGACAAAGGAAAGCAGAGAAAGAGGUUUGGGUCCAAAUGGUAGAAAGGGGUCAACUCUCACUUGCUAUCCAAAACACUGGGCAGAUCUAAAGACCAGCAAAGUUAUGGCCAAUGUGUGAGUCAAGCUAGGUAAAUGAACUAUGGAAGGGCAAUACCCACUGUUUUCACCUUGAACACUGUUCUUUUUAUUCUCUGAAUAUACAGAGAAUACUGUAUUCAUCUCUUUGCUUUUCCUUCUCCAUGCUCAAAAAUGCCUUUCUCUCUGAUCUCAUCCAAACCCAUUGAUUUUUGAAGAUAUAUUUUUUUCCAGAUAGGAAACAGCUUUAUUGUAAAACUGCGGACUGCACCGCAUGCUUAAGAAUUUGCUAUAAUAUGUUGUGAGUAUAUGUGUAUGUGAGUUUAUAUAUGUAUAAGUAAUUUAUACUAUCAAAUUACUUAUAUUUAUAAUCACAUUUUAGCUCCUCAUUGCUUAUAAUAUGAAUAUGUCACAAUAUUCAUUUUCAGUGUAUAUUCAACAGGUGUUUAUAGAAGUAAAUUAGUUGAAUUUAUUUGUAAGCCCAAACAAAUAAAUGAGAUUUCACAGCAUUGUUUUUAUACCAUCAACAUAGUACCAUUUUUUAAUUGUCUUUAAUAUAUGGUAAAAAAAUGUGAGAACAGAAAUAAAAGAUGUCAAAGAAAAAAAAAAUGGGAAGUUUUAUAAGUACUAAAUUUCAAUUCAGAAUAAAGUCUUAAAUGUUAGAUCUGAAACUAUAAAACUUCUAGAAGAAAACAUAAGGAGGAAGAUCUUUGACAUUAGUCUUAGUAAUAUCUUUUUAGAUGUAUCUCAUCAGGUAAGGGAGAUAAAAGCAAAAAUAAACAAAUGGGACUGUAUAAAACUAAAAGCUUUUGGACAGCAAAGAAAACUAGAGCAAAACAAAAAGGAUACCUACUUAAUGGGAAAAGAUUUGCAAACUAUAUAUAUGAUAAUGGCUUAGUAUACUAAAUACACAAAGAACUUAUACCUCAACAACGAAAAAUCAAAUGAUGCUAUAAAAAAUGGCAGAGAAAAAAAAAUGGCAGAGGAUCUAAAUAGACAUUUUUCCAAAGAAGACAUCUAGAUGUUCAACAGGCAUAUGAAAAGAUACUCAACAGCACAAAUUAUCAGGGAAAUGCAAAUCAAUACCACAAUAAGCUACUACCUCACACCUGUCAGAAUGGGUAUUAUCAAAAAGGCAACAAAUAGCCAGUGUUGGCAAGGAUAUGAAGAAAGGGAACCCUUAUGCACUAUUGUUGGAAAUGUAAAUUGGUGCCACCAUUUUGGAAAACAAUAGAGAAAUCCCUCAAAAAAAAUUAAAGGUAGAAAAAUCGUAUGAUCCAGUAAUUCUACUCCUGGAUAUUUAAUCAAAGAAAACAAAAACAACAAUUAGAAAAGAUAUGUCUAUCCCUACAGUCACUGCAGCAUUAUUUAUAAUAGCCAAGAUAAGGAAGCAACCCAAGUAUCCACCGAUAGAUGAAUGGAUAAAGAUGCGAUAUAUUUAUAGAAUGGAAUAUUAGCCAUAAAAAGAAGGAAAGCUUAUCAUCGUGACAAUAUGAACACAAGCUGGUGUUAUGCUAUGUGAAAUAAGUCAGAGAAAGACAAAUAUUGUAUGAUUUUACUUACACAUGGAAUCUAAAAAAUGAAACAAAUGAACAAACAUAACAAAGGCAAAACAGAGAUAUAGAUACAGAGAACAAAUAGGUGGUUGCCAGAGGGAAAAGGGGUAGGGAGAGGGAAGAAAUAUGCCAAGGAGGUUAACAGGUCAAAACUCCAGUUGCAAAAUAAAUAAAUCAUGGGUAUGAAAUGUUUCAUUUGGGGAACAUAGGCAACAACCAUGUCAUAUCUUUGUAUGUAACAUAUGGUAAACAGACUUAUUUUGGUGAUCAUUAUGAAAUGUACAGAAACACAAAAUUAUAAUGUAACAGGAACUAACAUAGUGUUGUGGGUCAAUUAUACUUUAAAAACAAACAAACAUAUAGAAAGAGAUCAGAUUCGUGCUAACCAGAGGCUGGAGGUUGGGGCAGAGGGAAUUGGAUGAAGGUAGUUGAAAGGUUACAAACUUCCAGUUAUGAGAUAAAUUAGUACUUGCAUAUAAUCACGAUGUGAUUGUACAAUGUGACAAAUAUAAUUAAUAUUGCUUUAUGUUAUAUAUAAAAGAUAGGAGAGUAAAUCCUGAAAGUUCUCAUCACAAGAAAAAAAAACUUUUCUAUUUCUAUAAUGUAUUUAUAUCAGCUGAUGGAUAUAAAAUUAUUGCGAUAAUCAUUUCAAGAUGUUGAUAUGCCAAGUUUUUAUGCUGUACAUGCUAUACAUGUUGCAUGUUAUACAGUGUUGUAUGUUAGUUAUAGCUCUAUAAAACUGGAAGAAAAAAAUAGGAAAAUUGAAAUAAAAGGUAUUAAAGAAAGAAACAGGAACUCCCUUCACAGCUCAGCAGUUAAUGAACCUGAGUAGGAUCCAUGAGGAUGAGGGUUCAAUCCCUGGCCUAAGUCAGUGGGUUAAGGAUCUGGCAUUGCCAUAAGCUGUGGUGUAGGCUGCAGACACAGCUCAGACCCCAUGGUGCUGUAGCUGUGGAGUAGGCUGGCAGCUGUAGCUCUGAUUCAACCCCUAGCCUGGGAACUUCCAUGUG